rnacentral:rRNA from 1 species
AUUGAACGCUGGCGGCAUGCUUUACACAUGCAAGUCGAACGGCAGCGCGGGCUUCGGCCUGGCGGCGAGUGGCGAACGGGUUAGUAAUGCAUCGGAACGUGCCCAGUAGUGGUGGAUAGCCCGUCGAAAGCCGGAUUAAUACCGCAUACGACCUGAGGGUGAAAGCGGGGGACCGAAAGGCCUCGCGCUAUUGGAGCGGCCGAUGUCGGAUUAGCUAGUUGGUGGGGUAAAGGCUUACCAAGGCGACGAUCCGUAGCUGGUCUGAGAGGACGACCAGCCACACUGGGACUGAGACACGGCCCAGACUCCUACGGGAGGCAGCAGUGGGGAAUUUUGGACAAUGGGGGCAACCCUGAUCCAGCCAUGCCGCGUGCGGGAAGAAGGCCUUCGGGUUGUAAACCGCUUUUGUUCGGGAAGAAAUCCUCUGGGCUAAUACCCCGGGGGGAUGACGGUACCGGAAGAAUAAGCACCGGCUAACUACGUG